AGGGUGAGCAUGGAGAACGGACGUAGCCAUCCUGGAUGAGCCUGAGAGCAAUGGAAGUGCUGAAAGCCCAGCGUUAAGAACUACUGGCAGGAAAAGGCAAUUCGAAAUAUGAUUUUCACUUUAGAUGCACAAGGGUACUUUGGUAAUGGACUAAAUUAAGACAAUAUAUUUCUUGUCAGCUUCUCCAUCUCCCACUAAAUCACAUUCAGAAGUAAGGAAUGGAAAGCAGUAUUUGGAAAGAAGCUCUGAAGGUAUUUAGCCAUUGAAGAGAAGAAGCUACUGCAAUCUGAUUUUCCAUGAGCCACAGAUAAAAGACCUCUCUAAUUUCCCUUUAAAUGAGCAAAGCCUUGGGUAUUCUGUUUGCAUUAAUGGAUUUCCAUUACUUUAAUGUUUGUAAAAUAUAAUUUAAAAAUAAAUACGUUUAGUUAUGCAGCAAGUGAGAAGGUAAGAUAUGAGAUAGACGCUUUUCUUAAAUUCAUUAUUUUAUCUUGAUUUUAGGGGGAACGAAAUGUUUUCCAUUCUCUUUGCAAUUAUUGUCAUAAAACAAAUAAAGUAAUAUUUUAUUGGCAGCUCAGGAAAACAGGAGAUAUCUGUUUUUGCAGUUUGUCUUAUAAAGCUUCUCUAGGCAGCUUCUCCAUAUAUUUUAGAACAUUUUUAAUGUUAAUGUACAAUAUCUUUAUAUAGCUUUCUUUUAUGGUCAGGUCUAA